UUAGAGUUUGAUCCUGGCUCAGGAUGAACGCUAGCGGCAGGCUUAACACAUGCAAGUCGAGGGGCAGCACGGAUUGCUUGCAAUCUGGUGGCGACCGGCGCACGGGUGCGUAACGCGUAUGCAACCUACCUUUAACUGGAAGAUAGCCCGGGGAAACCCGGAUUAAUACUCCAUAAUACUUCGAAAUCACAUGAUAUUGAAGUUAAAGUUUCGACGGUUAAAGAUGGGCAUGCGUCCCAUUAGUUUGUUGGUGAGGUAACGGCUCACCAAGACUACGAUGGGUAGGGGGCCUGAGAGGGUGACCCCCCACACUGGUACUGAGACACGGACCAGACUCCUACGGGAGGCAGCAGUGAGGAAUAUUGGUCAAUGGACGAAAGUCUGAACCAGCUAUGCCGCGUGAAGGAAUGAAGGCUCUAUGGGUUGUAAACUUCUUUUUUAUGGGAAGAAACCCUCGAACGUGUUCGAGGCUGACGGUACCAUAAGAAUAAGCACCGGCUAACUCCGUGCCAGCAGCCGCGGUGAUACGGAGGGUGCAAGCGUUAUCCGGAUUUAUUGGGUUUAAAGGGUCCGUAGGCGGAUUAAUAAGUCAGUGGUGAAAGCCUACAGCUCAACUGUAGAACUGCCAUUGAUACUGUUAAUCUUGAGUUUGGUUGAGGUAAGCGGAAUGAGACAUGUAGCGGUGAAAUGCUUAGAUAUGUCUCAGAACACCAAUUGCGAAGGCAGCUUACUAAACCAAUACUGACGCUGAUGGACGAAAGCGCGGGGAGCGAACAGGAUUAGAUACCCUGGUAGUCCACGCCGUAAACGAUGAUUACUCGUUGCUAGCGAUAUACUGUUAGUGACCAAGCGAAAGUGUUAAGUAUAUCCACCUGGGGAGUACGAUCGCAAGAUUGAAACUCAAAGGAAUUGACGGGGGCCCGCACAAGCAGUGGAGCAUGUGGUUUAAUUCGAUGAUACGCGAGGAACCUUACCAGGGCUUAAAUGUGCUAUGACCUCUCGGGAAACCGAGAUUCUCUUCGGAGCAAAGUACAAGGUGCUGCAUGGUUGUCGUCAGCUCGUGCCGUGAGGUGUCGGGUUAAGUCCCAUAACGAGCGCAACCCCUAUCUUUAGUUGCCAGCGAGUAAUGUCGGGGACUCUAAAGAAACUGCCCGCGUAAGCGAGGAGGAAGGUGGGGAUGACGUCAAAUCAUCACGGCCCUUACGUCCUGGGCUACACACGUGCUACAAUGGUGCAUACAGAGGGCAGCAACCUGGUGACAGGAAGCGAAUCUCGAAAGUGCAUCUCAGUUCGGAUUGAAGUCUGCAACUCGACUUCAUGAAGCCGGAAUUGCUAGUAAUCGCGCAUCAGCCAUGGCGCGGUGAAUACGUUCCCGGGCCUUGUACACACCGCCCGUCAAGCCAUGGAAGCUGGGAGUGCCUGAAGUCGGUAACCGCAAGGAGCUGCCUAGGGUAAAACUGGUGACUGGGGCUAAGUCGUAACAAGGUAGCCGUACCGGAAGGUGCGGCUGGAUCACCU
rnacentral:rRNA from 1 species